AUUAAUUUUUAUUAGGGGAUAAGUGAGAAAUAAAGUUAAACAAGCUGUGAAGGGGACAUAGUUUGUUUAAUAAAAAUUUUAUUUAUUGUACCUUUGGUAUCAGGGUUAAUUUAAAUUAAUGAAUUAGUUUUUUUUCUCGAAAAUAAAAGAUUUAAAUAUUAAUAAAAUUUUAAUGUUUCAUUAUUAAUUGGAAUAUAUAUUUAGUUUUGAAAAAAAUGGAGAUUUUUUAUAUCUAGUUACUUUAUAAUUGAUUUAAUCAAUUUUAAAUAUUUUGAAAAUUAAUUUUUAUAUUUAAUUAAUUUUUUUUGGGAUAAGCUAAAAAAAAGAUUUAUAGAUUUUUAUUAUAAAAUAAUUUUUUAAGUUUAGAGUUAUCUAUAAAAUUAUAGUAUUUAAUAAUUAAUUUAAUUUUAUUAAAAAUUUAGUUAUACACUUUGAUGGGGAUAAAAGUUGUUUAAUUUGAAUUAUUUUAAUAAAAUAAAAAUGAUUAAAUUAGUAGAAUAAAAAUUAUAGUUUAAGAAUUCGGCAAAAUUAAUUUUUGGCUGUUUAUCAAAAACAUUUCUGGGGGAGAUAUGUUUUUGGUAUAACCUGCUCAAUGCUUAGUUAAUAGCUGCAGUAUUUUGACUGUACAAAGGUAGCAUAAUCAUUAGUCUUUUGAUUGAAGGCUGGAAUGAAUGGUUGAACAGAAAAUUUACUUUUUUAAUUAUAAGAUUUUUUAAUUUAGGGCAUAUGUAAAAAUACAUAUUUAUUUUAAAGGGACGAUAAGACCCUAUAGAAUUUAAAAAUAUUUAUGAGUAAAAAUUUUUUUGUUGGGGUGACAAUAAAAUGAACUUUUAUUUUUAUUUUCAUUUAUAAAUGAUUGGAGGAUCCUAAAAUUUAAGAUAAUAAGAUGAAAUUACCUUAGGGAUAACAGCAUAAUUUUUUUUAAAAGUUCUAAUUUAUGAAAAAGAUUAUGACCUCGAUGUUGAAUUAAAUUAAAUUUUGGUGGAGAAGCUAAUUUUUUCUAGUCUGUUCGACUUUAAUAUUUUACAUGAUUUGAGUUCAAACCGGCGUGAGCCAGGUUGGUUUCUAUCUUUUAAAAAUAUAAGUUUUUUAGUACGAAAGGACCAAUUAUUUUAAUUUUUAUUAAUCUUUAUAGAAUUAUAUUAAUUUGU
rnacentral:rRNA from 1 species